rnacentral:rRNA from 1 species
AUGGAGACCCGUAGCAGAAGAAAGCGCGCCGCCGUCGCCAGGGACCGGCUGAGCAACCUGCCGGGCUGCCUCCUCCACGCCAUCCUCUCGCAGCUCCGGUCCCGACAGGCAGAGAGGGAUGCGAUAGCCAAGCUGGAGGAUUUCGCCGACAAUCUCUUGUUCCACCAUGGUCUCUCCGGCGAGGCGCUGGACACCCUGCGGCUGCGCAUCUAUCGUCGAGACGGACGUCCAUACGGUAGCACGGAUAUGAUCAGCAGGUGGAUUCGCCGCGGCCUGAGGCUGUCACCGGCGGGAAUCGACAUCGUCGUUGACGGUAUCCCGAUGGAGCAGCCCUCCUAUUUGUCCAACACCGGCGCCAACCUUGGGCGCCUCACCAAGAUCCGCCUCGACGGCGUUCUACUCAGCGGGGCCAUCGGGGAUCUCUUCGGCACCGACAGCCUCCUCCCCGUCCUGCAAGACCUGGAGGUCAGGAACAGUGCCCUCAGGUACAUUGUGUCCGACACGCUGACGAACCUCACAGUCGUCUACGACUCCCCGGCGAGUACACAAACAUACGAGAUGUUUGGCCACAUCGUCACUCCUCGCUUGGCGUCGCUGCGGUUCGAGUUGCCGCUCGCCCGUCUCGCCAACUUGGACUUCACCGUAGAGGAGCUACCUUGCCUUGCACAAGCAUCCAUCCGCCUACUCCACGAGACUCCUCAGCCGUGGAGCUGGAACGGAAAUACAUCAGUCCCAGAAACAUGUUCAGAAAGGAGGGAAAGGGGAAAAGCGAGUUCGAGCACUACCAGGAAACCCACCACACUCGCCCGACAUCGUGACGAGUGGCAUGGAGCGAAAACCUGA